rnacentral:lncRNA from 1 species
CCUUGCCUGAAACAAAUUUCAGAAAGUUCACCAAAAUGGCUCAUGCUAUGGCUUCAAUGGGUGGCCUAAUUGGUUCUUCUCAAACUGUGUUGGAUGGUCAGCUCAGUGGCUCAGCCCGUUUGAGCACUGUUAGCACCAGCAGAAUUGCCUUGGCUAGACCAGGACUCAGCAUUAGAGCCCAACAGGGGUCUGCUGACACUGAAACUAGCCGUAGAGCCGUCAUCGGUCUUGUUGCUGCUGGCCUUGCUGGUUCCUUUGCUCAAGCAGCCUUUGCUGCAGCUAAAUCAAUCAAGAUUGGUGGCGCUCCUCCUCCCUCUGGUGGAUUACGUAAGUCGUCUCGCUUUUGGUUAAGGUCUUUAUUUACCUUUUUCCUUUCUUUCCCAGUGGUGAAUCAAUUAGAGUCAUUGGGUUCUGUUUUUUUUAUUGAUGUUCCAAUUUUUUUCAAUUCAAACACGCAUAUAUGUAGUUAAGGGUUUUGUCGAACCUUUUGUGUCUAGUCUAGAUCCGCCACUGAUUACUGGAGCGACACAAUAAUAAUAUCAUAAUAGAUAUACUUACAGACAAUUAAUAGCAAGAUUCACAUAUCCAGGACAGGAUGUAAGAGUGACUCUCCAAUGUUGCAUUUCAAUUCAUUUAAUUUUGCUUAAUUUUUCCGUGAUUAGAACCUUCACUGGACCAAGGAAUAGAUUAAGGUUACUAGAUCGUGUCAUAAAGAGAAAUCCUUUGCCAGUGAGCUAUGCAAGGGUGUUCAAAGUCUAUUUUUAAUCAAUAACAAGUAAUAUUUUACCUUAUACGUAACAUAAUUUUUCAGCGAAGAGUGGUCAGUUGACCACCCUUGGGCCAACAUAGCUUCGCCCCUGUCCUUAUGUGAAUUAAAAGAGGGAAUUAAGCUUGAGGAAAAAGAACAGGAGGGGCUUCAUAGUAAGUAGUCAAAGAUUACAUUUGACAAGAGUAUUCCAAUCCUUUUGAAGGGUCUGUAACUUGUCCCUUCUAAUUUUUAUAAUAUUUCGUGAGAAGCGAUUGUAGAAAAGCUUUCAAACAUUAAAUUUGAAGCAAUAGAUUUCAUAAGUGAUACAAAAGGACACACACUUCCCAAAUUUGGAAAAUGUGGAAACUAAUCAAUAAGUGAUAUUUGAAAUCUUGUACUACUCCUAGUUUCUUUUGGAUUCAAAUUUGAAUUAGUACUUUUGCCUUGAAAAUCAAUCUUUGUGCUUUGCAUUUUAUGAAGGCCAAAUGCAAUAAACCAGAUGGAUCUUUAGAAGUAGUUAUGCAGUUGAAAUAUGAUUGGUUUCUCAUUUUGGUAAAAUAAGAUAUACAACAAAUUCCAACAAUUCAGAACUAUAAAGAAUGGUUACUAGAAAUAGAAAAGACAAUUUAAGUGUCAUAUGGCAUUUGGAAUUUCUGUACUCAUGCUGAGGAUUUGGAUUUUGGCAGCUGGAACUUUGAAUUCAGAUGAGGCAAGGGACCUUGAUUUGCCAUUGAAGGAGAGGUUUUACCUUCAACCAUUGACUCCAGCUGAGGCAGCCCAGAGAGUUAAGGAUUCAGCCAAGGAGAUUGUUAGCGUCAAGAAUUUCAUCGACAAGAAGGCCUGGCCAUAUGUCCAGAAUGACCUUCGUCUCAGAGCAGAAUACCUUCGCUAUGACCUUAAGACCGUCAUCUCUGCUAAGCCAAAAGAAGAGAAGGGAAAACUCCAGGACCUGACUGGAAAGCUCUUGAAGACAAUUAGUGAUGUAAGUCAAAUCUCUACAUUCUUGGUUACAUGAAUGUCUAUGUCAUAGUAUUUCAAAAGUAGUGAAAUUAUGUGCAUAGAAAUCCAAAGGGCUGCUUAUGUUUUCGCAUACUUUUAACAAUCUGUUCUUUUCCUUCCUCAGCUGGACCAUGCAGCAAAGACCAAGAACAGCCCUGAAGCGGAGAAGUACUAUGCUGAUACUGUAUCUACCUUAAAUGAUGUUUUGGCCAACCUUGGUUAAAAAAGCUUUUCUGUACUAGUAUGUUAUUACUUCCUGUAAGUUAUCGAAUACUUCUUGAAUCCAAUUGUGAAGAAUGAUUUUGGAAGAACUGUUUAAAAAUCUGAAACAAUAAGUGCUUCACCUGAGAGCCUCACCCUAAGUUUUGCUUGUGAAUUUUGACUGGGAGUUUCACUUUAAUUGAGGUCUGUGAGCAAAAACACACGGUUCCAGCUUACUUGAUGUUCAGCCUAAAUGUAAAGACUAAUCUUUUAGUGGUUUUCCUUACAAAUUCUACCUCUGCUAUGGAAGUUUCAUUAGAUCUCCAGUCUCAAGUCCCUACUGCUUGCAUAAACAGGAACUACGUGACUAAAACCUAGCUUUCAAGAUGUACAUAUAUAGCCGUCCUGCUCACUCAAGUUAAGUACUUGAAGGCUAAGCAUAGUAUUAGCAUGCACAAGGAUAGACUAAUAACAAGGAUGCUAAUAGCAGGCAACGAACUACCGUAAUUAUACACUAGUACUACAAUUAGGCCCGAAAACUGUUGCCAAGAACGCAUUGAAGAUUUAAUUAUUAAAAGUAUGAUGGAUCUUCUUGAUCUACACCAACAAUGGUUUUAAUGUCUUCUCCGCUUCUGGGAGAAACGACUAAGCUGACAUUUGCAGUUUGCCGAGGACAUAUUAUGAACAUGAAAUCGAUGGAUCAAGUACGCUGUAUAAAUUUCAUGAUGCAUUAACUCUUCUAACAAGUAUGUCGUGUGGAAUCCAGCAACCAGUCAACUUUUAAUUUGCUUGCUCUUGAUGAACCUGGUGAUAGUAUUAUCUUUGUUUGUCUUCCAGUCACAGAUGUUUUACACUAAAAGUUACUAUAUAAAAAUAGAUACUAUAUAUCUUAAUGUACCCAUUUUUAUAUUUGAUCUACCAAUCUUAAUCCAUGUGAUUAUACUAACAAUUAAGAAAAACAUAACAAAUUCGCAACGAAUAAUGUAGGAACGAUUUCAGCAGUCCAGUAAAAAUUACAUUAGAGUCAAGAAAAAGUUACAAACAACAUAAAAUUCAAGAAAAUGUUACAUGAAAUAUUAGGAAGUUUAAAAAGGAAUAUAUGGUAUCCGGUUAUGAAGAAUUUUCCAUAGAUAUUCUGCUUUCAUUUCUCUAGUAUGGAGCACUGGAUUAAUCUAAUUCUCGUUAGUGAAGGCGGCAUAUUGGAAGAGAGUAAUUUGUUUAACUCAUGCAUGGCUUCCUUGUUGAUGAUUAAGCUUCUUAUCUUCCUGGAUAGUUGCAGUAGCAGAGAUGUAGUAGGAAACUGAGAAAAGUCCAUGGAUAAAGCACAAUAUCCCUCCUAUCGACAAGAAACGAUGGUGUGAUAUCCCACAAGAUUUUCUCGCCUUCCCGUUUGACAUUGUUCCAGCUACCAGCAAUGCGAAUGCAAUGCCCAUGAUUAUCCUAGUUUCAAAAAAAAAAAAUAAAAAAAAAUUAUAUACAGCUAUCGAUUAUAAUAAAUAAACAAAGAUCAAGAUAUCAUGCAUGCAUGAUUUAUGAGCAGAGAGAAUUUAGAAUUUAAGUUAGCAAAUGUGGAGAAUCUACUGUCACCAUAUUACCAUAAUAGAUCUAUCAUUGCUACCACGAAAAGCGUGGUGGAAUGGUUGAGAUCUUUCCACUCUGAAUUAGAGUUCUCGGGUUUGAACCUCUAAGGAAAAGAGAAUGUCCCGGUAUCAGCAGUGGCUGAAGCAGGAUUUUCGCUAAGGGGUUCAAAAAAGGAAAAAAGUUAAAAUAUUAAAAGAAACUAUGGCUAGUGGGAAUUGAACCAACAAUCUAAAAAAAGGUUUUGAACUUCCUUGACCACGGAGUUAUGCUUUUAGACAGUAUCAAGAGGAUUCAAAAAAUAAUAUAUAGAGGUACAAACCGGAUUUUGCCUUAAAAUAUAAUAUAUAGAGGUACAAAUCGGAUUUUGCCUUAUAUGUACGGUGUAAUUAUCCGGCGAACCCCUAAAUCCGCCCCUGAUGAGCGUUUUGACCACUCCUCUUAAUGGGCCACUCGGGAUGUGAAUCGGAAUUAGUCGGCCUUAAAAGCUUUCGAAUAUCAGAUGGUUAAACAGAAGAAAAGGGAGGAGGAUUUGGAAAUUACCAUUGGAAUACAAAUGAAGCGAACGCAAGUUUCUUGUUAGAAGAGGCCUUAUCUAACUCUUCUUGGGACUGGACGCAAAUACAACCAGCAAGCAGAUUAGAAAUAACUUGUGCCAGAACCAAAAGUACAGUUGCAGCCAAUCCCAGCUUAAAAGCUUCAUAGCUUGGAUCUCUACAUUCAAAGAUCCACACCUUUAAUUCUGAAACCUGUUCCAACAAAUCAAGGACUUGCCGUUACUAAACAAUAUCAAGAUUAUGUAUGUCAAUUUCCUCAUCUAGAUGAAAAUUUUACUUAUAAAUCAAUGAUUCUUUUUGAGUUGUACAUGCAUGAAUCAAAGAAAAUUUACCUUAUUUUGCUCUACCUCAGCUUGAAUUCCAAGUAUACCAGCUGCAACAUCCAAAAUCACAAGAAGAAGGCAAACAAGAAUGCCAAUGUUUUUAGCCAUCUCUUUAACAAUCUAGUUAUUGCUUUCAGGUUAGAGAGGCUGAUAGUCUUCAUAGAAAAACAGGAGACACCCUUAUAUAAGGAGUUAGUACAAAUGUAGAAAUUCAUGAAUACAGAAAAAGAUUGAGUCGAACGUGAGAAUCUGAAUAAAGGAGAUGGAUGCAAGAAACCUAAUAAUGCUGUAUGAUAUAUGAGUUAAGAUUAGCUGGGAUUAUGGAGAAAAAGUCUUCCUUUGUCUUGAAAGACAUCUUUAUUCUACUUUAGUUUCUUUUUAGCUCUUUAGAUUUAUUUGGAUUCCUUUCAUGGGGAACAAGGAAAGCAGGGUAUCCCCAGCAAUUUAGACAGCUCUAAAAUUUUGUUAUUCUCUAAUUUGUUAAAGCCAUAUAUAGAGGGUGUUUGGCUAAGCUUAUAAGCUGGUCAAACUGGCUUAUAAACACCUUUUGGCUUA